rnacentral:rRNA from 1 species
CCUGGAAUGGUUUUUCGCCCAAAGGGGAUUGGAAUCAUGCUCUUCAAUCUUGCCCAAGGAUGGGGCCGCGCCCGAUCAGGUUGUUGGUGGGGUAACGGCUCACCAAGCCUAUAACCGGUACGGGCCGUGAGAGCGGGAGCCCGGAGAUGGGCACUGAGAUAAGGGCCCAGGCCCUACGGGGCGCAGCAGUCGCGAAAACUCCGCAAUGCGCGAAAGCGUGACGGGGCUACCCCGAGUGCCGUCCGCUGAGGAUGGCUUUUCCCCGGUGUAAUGAGCCGGGGGAAUAAGGAGAGGGCAAGUCUGGUGUCAGCCGCCGCGGUAAUACCAGCUCUCCGAGUAGUAGGGACGAUUAUUGGGCUUAAAGCGUCCGUAGCCGGCUUAGCAAGUCUCCUGUUAAAUUCAGCGACCUAAUCGUUGAGCCGCGGGAGAUACUACUAGGCUAGGAGGCGGGAGAGGCCGACGGUAUUCCCGGGGUAGGGGUGAAAUCCUAUAAUCCCGGGAGGACCACCAGUGGCGAAGGCUGUCGGCUAGAACGCGCUCGACGGUGAGGGACGAAAGCUGGGGGAGCGAACCGGAUUAGAUACCCGGGUAGUCCCAGCUGUAAACGAUGCGGGCUAGGUGUUGUGGUGGCUACGAGCCACUUCAGUGCCGCAGGGAAGCCAUUAAGCCCGCCGCCUGGGGAGUACG